rnacentral:lncRNA from 1 species
GAUGUUUAAAGAAGUGUCUUUUCACCAAACUAGCAAAAGGUUAAAAAAUAAUGGUCCUACAACAAAUCAUUUUUAUUAUAGUUCCUUUAUGUUUGGUACUUUGUUUCAUAAAAAUUUAUCAGAUAGAUUAUUUUAAUAAAAACUUAAUUUGUUUUAUCUUUUUAGCAUCCAUGGAAACCUUUAUAGGACAUUGUGGAAUGGAAGAACUAUAUAUUCUAUGGAUGCACAAAGAACAAGUCGAGAUUAUGGAACUGGUUUUACUUUUUGGGCC